AGAUAAGGUCUAACUAACUCUGGCUGGCCUGGAACUGGUUAUGUAAACCAGGCUGGUCUAGAACUCACGGAGAUCCUCCUGUCUCUGCCUCCCAAAGGCUGGAAUUAAAGGUAUCAAACCGCAAACAUUAUUCUGGCAAUAACCAGACCACCUCCCUGCCAACUCUGUCCCAUUCAUACGAGACAUCUGGAGGGCUGUCCUUCCUAGACUGGAGAGAUACACCUGCUUUAUCUAAAGAGUUGGAAGGAUUUUGGUCCCUGGGUUAGGCCACUGAUUUACAGUCAGUAGAAAUUCUCCUUCAUAAAUCUCUCUUCAAUUUGACAUCCCCCCUCCCUUUUUUUCCCUUCACAGCGAUAGUUUGGAGCCUCACCAACUUACAGCUAACUCUGGACCAUGUCUGUCUGUACCUAAUAUAUAGAAUGGCGUCUUUUUUCUGCUAAAUCUCCAGCCUCAAGGUUUCUUCCUGAGGCCAGCUCUUAACAGCCUGCCCCACACUCUAGAGCCCAUCUUUUAUUUACACCAAACCAAUUAGGAGUUUGCUAUCUUAGUUAUAAUUUCCUAGGGUUUGAUCAGAUACAUUUGAUUCAUUUCAGGAAAUUUUUUUUAUCAGAAAGGAACAUCCUUUUUUAAGAUCAGGUAUGUAGUGGCUAUUCCUGGUUGUCAACUUGACUAUAUCUGGAAUGAACUACAAUCCAGAAUUGGAAGGCUCACCUGUGAUCCUAAUCUGGAAACUGGGAGAUAGAAGUUUCUGACCUGGAUCUUGGCAUGGA
rnacentral:lncRNA from 1 species